GAGAGAGGAAAAAUAAAGGCAAUUAAAUGGUGGAACAAUCUAUUAGAUCGUUUACAUAAGAGCCAGCAAGUCAAGCGUAGUCACCAGAGGAACACAUUUGAGUUUAACAAGUUGGUCUGGAAAUCACCACAGGGUACAUGCUCAGCUUUGAAGAUUUCUGACUGUAGCAACACAGAUCCAAGAAACUCAAGAGCUAAGAUGUGCAGUGCAAAGUUGCACAAAACCGAACAGCCACGACUAGUCAAAAUUUAAUGUGAACCCCAUUUUUUUAUGAAGUCCUAGACAGCCACAAACAUAAUAAUUGCUCUCUACAAUUUCAAGGUGUUACUGUUACUGGAGAGUAAAUGUUCAUCCUUCCAGGAAACUAUCUUUUUAUGUACAUUUGAUUGUGUAGGAGUGGAAAAUUACGUACAGUAUAGAAAAUUGUUCCUCUGGCAGAUGAGUAAAGUGGAAAGAAUCAAAUCAAACUAUAUUCACUUAUUGGCUCUGUGAGCUCUGGCAAGUUACUUAUUUUCUGAGCCAAAAAUGGCAAUGAAAUUAUAAAGAAUGCAUGUGUAAAAUGGCUAUGUGUAGAGAGAGCAGUGGCCACCUGUAAAGACAGAGUGUGUGUAAAGCGGCAUUGGUCAUCGAAUGCAGGGCAUAAUCACUGCCACUGCUUUUUACUCGUAUCUACAAUAGUCAUAACAGCUAUUGUUUAUUAAAAGUCAACUGUAUAUCCAGCUGUGUUAGGUGGUACGAGAAAUACAAGGAAAAGUAAAAAUGAUAAAAGCUGCCCUCAAGGAUCUUACAGUGCAGAAUCAUUUAUUAAGAGAGAGAGAAAGUAGACCAGAAUUCAGAGGAAGGCAAGGCUGCUUUCAGGUUCAGGAAAUACACAGCGGGGGGACACUGAAGAGUAGCAGAGUAUGCUGUCCCCAAAUUUGCAUAAGGAUUAUUUUCAGCGAAAGACAACUGAAAAGGAGGAGAUACCUCCCCUUAUUUGCCUAAAAGCAAGACAUAAAUUUAUAAAGGUGCCUCCUCUUUCCUCUAUACUGGGGACAGUUAUCAGAUGGAGACUGGAGAUGAUACCAGAGAAAUCCAAAUAGACUACUAACCAGCCCUUAUCUUCCAUUCCCCCCGCACCCCCAUAUAUUUGCCAUCCCACAAUGUGCCACUCUAGAAACUCAGCCCUUUUCCUUUGUCUUGUCACUUUUCUAAAAAUGCAUUGUUCUUUUGUUAAGAAGCUUAUAUAAGCCCACCCCCUUUGAAUUACUCAUCGCAGAGGAUUCCCAUGUGUAUGCAUGACGCAUGUGUUAAUAAACUUCUGAUUGUUUUUCUCUUGUUAAUCUGUAUGUCGUCAGUCUAGUUACAGGGCCCUAGCCCAUGAGCCUAAGAUGAGUGGAGGGAAAACAGUUUUUCCUCCCCUUCAAUACCCUCCUCAGUGGAGGCCAACAUCAAACUCAGGGAGAAGUUUUAGGGUCCCAGGCGCUGAAAUCACCCUGGCUCCAGCCAGAAUGCUCUUGCCUAGGCCUGUUUGGUUGCUGGUGGUAGGUUCUCUUGUUCCAAGGAUGAUGAGAAGGGCAGUUGGCCCAGAGAGGCCGUGAUCUCUCUGGCCAAGCCCUAGACAAAGGGGCAGUGGAGGGAGGUUAAGGACAGAAAUGGGAACGAGGUAUGGGACGUUGGUUCUUUCGAUGCUGCCGGUUAUACCUUGGCUCUACCAGAAUUUUUUAGGCUAUUUUACAGGUUAAAGUGCAGUAGGAAGAGGCUAACCGUGGGCAUGAGAUACAAACUUGGGCUAUAUUUGUUUGGCCCCUACAGACUCUUAAAAGUUUGGUGUUGUAAGAAAUAGUUACACUAAAUUCUUCUUAUCUUUUGCAGGGAUCCUGUGAGCACCACCUGUGAGCAUCACUAUGUGGUUCAGGUACAACUAAGACUGCGAGGACGAUGGUCCAGGAAGCUGGGCAGUUCUUCUAUUGGUGAGACUAUUACUUGAGGGGAAAAUGAUCGGAUCUGGAUAAACUGCGAACAGCAAAAGAUCAAAAGAGAGAAGAAGGGACCCAAGGUAGGGAAGAUGCUUAUCAAGAGUGAGUGACGGUCUUUUCAGAAGGCAAGGUAAGAGGGCCAGAAAGUUAACCCUCCUCACUAAGUCAGUGUUUGCCUUUCUUUCCAUUAACCUCCCUGGG